rnacentral:tRNA from 1 species
UGGGGUAUGGUCGUAAUGGUAACGGGUCUGCCUCUAAAGCAGAAAUUUUCAGUUCGAGUCUGAAUGCCCCAA